AGCUUUGUGUAAUGGCAUUGUCAUCGCCAGUGAGGUUUAUCCAAGAUGUGGUUAUUGCUAAUUGUAAACUUUUCCCAGUAACCUUCUGGGAUAACUUGAAAUAUAGCUGUAUUGGCAAUUUUUGACAGUCUCUGUGGAGA
rnacentral:snRNA from 1 species